rnacentral:rRNA from 1 species
UACGGAGGGUGCAAGCAUUAAUCGGAAUUAUUGGGCGUAAAGGGCGCGUAGGCGGGUAAGUAAGUCAGAUGUGAAAUUCCGGGACUCAAUUCCGGAGCUGCAUUUGAAACUGCUUGUCUUGAGGAUUGGCGGAGAGAACGGAAUUCCACGUGUAGCGGUGAAAUGCGUAGAUAUGUGGAAGAACACCGGUGGCGAAAGCGGUUCUCUAGCUAAUAACUGACGCUGAGGCGCGAGAGCAAGGGGAUCAAACAGG